rnacentral:rRNA from 1 species
UGGGGAAUAUUGGACAAUGGGCGCAAGCCUGAUCCAGCCAUGCCGCGUGCGGGAAGAAGGCCUUCGGGUUGUAAACCGCUUUUGUCAGGGAAGAAACGCUCUGGGCUAAUACCCUGGGGUAAUGACGGUACCUGAAGAAUAAGCACCGGCUAACUACGUGCCAGCAGCCGCGGUAAUACGUAGGGUGCAAGCGUUAAUCGGAAUUACUGGGCGUAAAGCGUGCGCAGGCGGUUGUGUAAGUCAGAUGUGAAAUCCCCGGGCUCAACCUGGGAAUUGCAUUUGAGACUGCACGGCUAGAGUGUGUCAGAGGGGGGCAGAAUUCCACGUGUAGCAGUGAAAUGCGUAGAUAUGUGGAGGAAUACCGAUGGCGAAGGCAGCCCCCUGGGAUAACACUGACGCUCAUGCACGAAAGCGUGGGGAGCAAACAGGAUUAGAUACCCAUGUAGUCCCUGAGCGGGCUGGCAAGGCGCAU